GGCAGGCCUAACACAUGCAAGUCGAACGGUAACAGGAAGCAGCUUGCUGCUUCGCUGACGAGUGGCGGACGGGUGAGUAAUGUCUGGGAAACUGCCUGAUGGAGGGGGGAUAACUACUGGAAACGGUAGCUAAUACCGCAUAACGUCGCAAGACCAAAGAGGGGGACCUUCGGGCCUCUUGCCAUCGGAUGUGCCCAGAUGGGAUUAGCUAGUAGGUGGGGUAACGGCUCACCUAGGCGACGAUCCCUAGCUGGUCUGAGAGGAUGACCAGCCACACUGGAACUGAGACACGGUCCAGACUCCUACGGGAGGCAGCAGUGGGGAAUAUUGCACAAUGGGCGCAAGCCUGAUGCAGCCAUGCCGCGUGUAUGAAGAAGGCCUUCGGGUUGUAAAGUACUUUCAGCGGGGAGGAAGGCGAUAAGGUUAAUAACCUUGUCGAUUGACGUUACCCGCAGAAGAAGCACCGGCUAACUCCGUGCCAGCAGCCGCGGUAAUACGGAGGGUGCAAGCGUUAAUCGGAAUUACUGGGCGUAAAGCGCACGCAGGCGGUCUGUCAAGUCGGAUGUGAAAUCCCCGGGCUCAACCUGGGAACUGCAUUCGAAACUGGCAGGCUAGAGUCUUGUAGAGGGGGGUAGAAUUCCAGGUGUAGCGGUGAAAUGCGUAGAGAUCUGGAGGAAUACCGGUGGCGAAGGCGGCCCCCUGGACAAAGACUGACGCUCAGGUGCGAAA
rnacentral:rRNA from 1 species